GUGCUCGUUUUGGCAGCACAUAUACUAAAAUUGGAACGAUAGAGAUUAGCAUGGCCCCUGCGCAAGGGUGACACACAAAUUUGUGAAACUUUCCAUAUUUUU